UACGAAGGGGGCUAGCGUUGCUCGGAAUCACUGGGCGUAAAGCGCACGUAGGCGGACUCUUAAGUCAGGGGUGAAAUCCUGGAGCUCAACUCCAGAACUGCCUUUGAUACUGAGAGCCUUGAGUUCGGGAGAGGUGAGUGGAACUGCGAGUGUAGAGGUGAAAUUCGUAGAUAUCGAGAGGAACACCUGCGGCGAAGGCGGGUUGCUGGGCUGACACUGACGCUGAACUGCGAAAGCUAGGGGAGCGAACAGG
rnacentral:rRNA from 1 species